CCUACGGGGGGCUGCAGUGGGGAAUUUUGGACAAUGGGCGAAAGCCUGAUCCAGCCAUGCCGCGUGAGUGAAGAAGGCCUUCGGGUUGUAAAGCUCUUUCGCAAGGAAAGAAAACUUAGCUACUAAUACUAGUUGAGGAUGACGGUACCUUGAUAAGAAGCACCGGCUAACUACGUGCCAGCAGCCGCGGUAAUACGUAGGGUGCGAGCGUUAAUCGAAGCGACUGGGCGCGAAGCGGGCGCAGAGAUUUGAAAUCCCCGGGCUCAACCUGGGAACUGCGUUUGAAACUACAAGGCUAGAGUGUAGAAGAGGGGGGUAGAAUUCCACGUGUAGCAGUGAAAUGCGUAGAGAUGUGGAGGAAUACCGAUGGCGAAGGCAGCCCCCUGGGCUAACACUGACGCUCAUGCACGAAAGCGUGGGGAGCAAACAGGAUUAGAUACCCCAGUAGUC
rnacentral:rRNA from 1 species